GUCGACCCCUUAUCGGGGUUGCGGACAGUGCCUGGUGGGUAGUUUGACUGGGGCGGUCUCCUCCCAAAGAGUAACGGAGGAGCACGAAGGUGGGCUAAUCACGGUUGGACAUCGUGAGGUUAGUGCAAUGGCAUAAGCCCGCUUGACUGCGAGAAUGACAAUUCGAGCAGGUGCGAAAGCAGGUCAUAGUGAUCCGGUGGUUCUGAAUGGAAGGGCCAUCGCUCAACGGAUAAAAGGUACUCCGGGGAUAACAGGCUGAUACCGCCCAAGAGUUCAUAUCGACGGCGGUGUUUGGCACCUCGAUGUCGGCUCAUCACAUCCUGGGGCUGAAGUCGGUCCCAAGGGUAUGGCUGUUCGCCAUUUAAAGUGGUACGCGAGCUGGGUUUAGAACGUCGUGAGACAGUUCGGUCCCUAUCUGCCGUGGGCGUUGGAAGAUUGAAGGGGGCUGCUCCUAGUACAAGAGGACCGGAGUGGACGAACCUCUGGUGUGCCGGGUUGUGUUCGCCAGACGCAUUGCCCGGUAGCUAAGUUCGGAAUCGAUAACCGCUGAAAGCAUCUAAGCGGGAAGCGAGCCCUGAGAUGAGUCUUCCCUGAUACUUUAAGUAUCCUAAAGGGUUGUCGGAGACUACGACGUUGAUAGGUCAGGUGUGUAAAGUGCUGUGAGGCAUUGAGCUAACUGAUACUAAUUGCCCGUGAGGCUUAACCA
rnacentral:rRNA from 1 species